rnacentral:rRNA from 1 species
UACAGAGGGUGCAAGCGUUAUUCGGAAUUAUUGGGCGUAAAGAGCGCGUAGGCGGUUCGAUAAGUCUGGUGUGAAAUCCCUGGGCUCAACUCAGGAAGUGCAUUGGAUACUGUCGGACUAGAGUACAGGAGGGGAGAGUGGAAUUCCUGGUGUAGAGGUGAAAUUCGUAGAUAUCAGGAGGAACAACAGAGGCGAAGGCGACUCUCUGGACUGUCACUGACGCUGAGGCGCGAAAGCGUGGGGAGCAAACAGG